rnacentral:rRNA from 1 species
UGAACGCUGGCGGCAUGCCUAACACAUGCAAGUCGAACGGCAGCAUGAGUAGAGCUUGCUCUACUUGAUGGCGAGUGGCGGACGGGUGAGUAAUAUGUAGGAAUCUACCUAGAGGAGGGGGAUAACUUAGGGAAACUUAAGCUAAUACCACAUAAGCCCUACGGGGGAAAGCAGGGGAUCGUAAGACCUUGCGCCUUAUGAUGAGCCUACAUCGGAUUAGCUUGUUGGUGGGGUAAAGGCCUACCAAGGCGAUGAUCCGUAGCUGGUCUGAGAGGAUGACCAGCCACACUGGGACUGAGACGCGGCCCAGACUCCUACGGGAGGCAGCAGUGGGGAAUAUUGGACAAUGGGGGCAACCCUGAUCCAGCAAUGCCGCGUGUGUGAAGAAGGCCUUAGGGUUGUAAAGCACUUUCAGUAGGGAGGAAGGGUUUAAUGCUAAUAUCAUUGAACAUUGACGUUACCUACAGAAGAAGCACCGGCUAACUCUGUGCCAGCAGCCGCGGUAAUACAGAGGGUGCGAGCGUUAAUCGGAAUUACUGGGCGUAAAGGGUGUGUAGGUGGUUGUGUAAGUUAGAUGUGAAAUCCCUGGGCUCAACCUGGGAACUGCGUUUAAAACUGCAUAGCUAGAGUACUGUAGAGGAUAGUGGAAUUUCCAGUGUAGCGGUGAAAUGCGUAGAGAUCUGGAGGAAUACCGAUGGCGAAGGCAGCCUUCUGGCCUAAUACUGACGCUGAGGUGCGAAAGCAUGGGGAGCAAACAGGAUUAGAUACCCUGGUAGUCCAUGCCGUAAACGAUGUCAACUAGCCGUUGGGCCCCUUGAGGGCUUAGUGGCGCAGCUAACGCGAUAAGUGACC